CCCUGAUUGGCACGGCUGCCCUGCCCGCCAGGCUUUCCUGCGCUGUUCCCUCCACAGAACAAAGGACACAACCAAGAGGGACGAAAGUGGCCACCCGACGGAAAAAAUAUUUUUUCACUGCUGUUGAUCAGAAUGGCUGGUGCACGGCGACUCGAGAUUUAAAGAGCGAUGGCUGCAUUUAAUGAGGAAGCGCUGUCAGCAUAAAGAAAAGGAAACCUUCACCACCAUCCCCCACUCCCAGGACCCUGGUCCCUAACAGCAGUGAGGCAAGAACAUCCUUCUGCUCCGGGCCCUGGCAGGCAGCUCCGUCCACCACAGAGCAGUGAGCGGGAAGGCAGAGAGGGUGGAGUCACGCCCUCCACCUUGUACAGGUGACUUCCUGCAGACACUUCCAGAAAGUGAAAACAGAAGUUAUACUCCAGACAA